UAAUACGGAGGAUGCGAGCGUUAUCCGGAUUUAUUGGGUUUAAAGGGUGCGUAGGCUGUUAUAUAAGUCAGUGGUGAAAUAUUCGGGCUCAACCGGGAUACUGCCAUUGAUACUGUAUAGCUGGAAUAUGGUUGCUGUGGGUGGAAUGUGUGGUGUAGCGGUGAAAUGCAUAGAUAUCACACAGAAUAUCGAUUGCGAAGGCAACUCACAAAGCCAUUAUUGACGCUGAUGCACGAAAGUGUGGGGAUCAAACAGGAUUAGAUACCCUGGUAGUCCACACUGUAAACGAUGAUAACUAGCUGUCGGCGAUAGAUAGUCGGUGGCUAAGCGAAAGCGAUAAGUUAUCCACCUGGGGAGUACGACCGCAAGGUUGAAACUCAAAGGAAUUGACGGGGGCCCGCACAAGCGGAGGAACAUGUGGUUUAAUUCGAUGAUACGCGAGGAACCUUACCCGGGCUCGAACGGUGCAGGAAUAUGGUAGAGAUAUCAUAGCUAGCAAUAGUCUGUAUCGAGGUGCUGCAUGGUUGUCGUCAGCUCGUGCCGUGAGGUGUCGGCUUAAGUGCCAUAACGAGCGCAACCCUUGUCGUUAGUUACCAUCAAGUAAAGUUGGGGACUCUAGCGAGACUGCCACCGUAAGGUGUGAGGAAGGGGGGGAUGACGUCAAAUCAGCACGGCCCUUACGUCCGGGGCGACACACGUGUUACAAUGGUAGGUACAGAGGGGCGCUAUCCAGUGAUGGAGUGCGAAUCUCAAAAACCUAUCUCAGUUCGGAUUGGAGUCUGCAACUCGACUCCAUGAAGUUGGAUUCGCUAGUAAUCGCGCAUCAGCCAUGGCGCGGUGAAUACGUUCCCGGGCCUUGUACACACCGCCCGUCAAGCCGUGGANGCCGGGGGUGCCUGA
rnacentral:rRNA from 1 species